GAUGAAGAACGUAGCGAAAUGCGAUAAGUAAUGUGAAUUGCAGAAUUCAGUGAAUCAUCGAAUCUUUGAACGCACCUUGCGCCCUUUGGACUUCUGAAGGGCAUGCCUGUUUGAGUAUCAUGAACACCUCAACUCCUUAUGGUCUUCCAUGAUGAGCUUGGACUUUGGGGGUUUUGCUGGCCUACAGUCAGCUCCUCUAAAAUAAAUCAGCUUACCGGUGUUUGGUGGGUAUCAUGGGUGUGAUAACUAUCUACGCUCGUGGUUUUCCACCAGGUAACCUUCAGCAGUGGAGGUUCACUGGAGCUCAUAGAUGUCUCUCCUCAGCGAGGACAACCCUUUGAAUGUUUGAUCUCAAAUCAGGUAGGACUACCCGCUGAACUUAAGCAUAUCAAUAAGCGGAGGA
rnacentral:misc_RNA from 1 species